CAAUAGCGUAUAUUAAAGUUGUUGCGGUUAAAAAGCUCGUAGUUGGAUUUCUGCCGAGGACGACCGGUCCGCCCUCUGGGUGAGUAUCUGGCUCGGCCUGGGCAUCUUCUUGGAGAACGUAGCUGCACUUGACUGUGUGGUGCGGUAUCCAGGACUUUUACUUUGAGGAAAUUAGAGUGUUUCAAGCAGGCUUACGCCUUGAAUACAUUAGCAUGGAAUAAUAAGAUAGGACCUCGGUUCUAUUUUGUUGGUUUCUAGAGCUGAGGUAAUGAUUAAUAGGGAUAGUUGGGGGCAUUCGUAUUUAACUGUCAAAGGUGAAAUUCUUGGAUUUGUUAAAGACGGACUACUGCGAAAGCAUUUGCCAAGGAUGUUUUCAUUGA
rnacentral:rRNA from 1 species